AUGAGAACUCCUCAGAGGUUGUUUUCACUUUUUGAGAUAUGAGUUUUGUGGCAUUUUUCGUAAAUAAUUGCAAAUGUGUGGGAUCCUCUUCAAUGUAUUGUCACAUCAUCCUCAGAGCCGUUGGAAGCUUUUGUUGUGCCAAAUGCUCCAGCUUCAGUUAUGGCCUCUGUUUUCCUCUAUUCUCUUUACUCCUCUAACUUCUCCAUUUACUCCAUUUACACCUUCUCCAUUUACUCCUACUCCUUCUCCAUUUAUUGCUUCUCCAUUAACACCUCUCACCCACCUCUACCAACAUAUCAUUAUUUCAAAACUUUUUCCUUUUCUUUUAUUGCUCAGACCUCUCACUUGUUCCAUAUUUUCACAAGCUACUCUUAACCCAGCACAAAUUGAGAGGAAGAAGAAACCAUCCUAGCCAGAAUCAAGCACACCCUGACACAACCAUUUGAUACUGGCCACAAUGCCGAUUUGAGAAUCUGAUCCUUGUACUACUCAGGUGACAAAAUGUGGCCUCCCCACAUUGAGCAAAUUUUUAUUGAGAUUAUGUUGGAUGAACAAGUGAAAGGGAAUAUGAAAAAUGGUGUGUUAAAGAUGCUUGUUUGGGAAUCUAUUACCAGGUAGCUUAAUACCCAAACUGGGAAGAAUUUUCUCACUAAGAAGGUGAUUCAAAAGCAUAAUAGGCUAAGGCAAAAACAAGGAAAAUGGGGACAGCUUUUGAAUCACAUGGGCUUAGGGUGGGAUGAGAUAACACAAUCUGUGACCAAUUCUGAAAAGGUGUGGGCAAACGUUGUUGUGGUACGUUCUUUACCCCAUUUAUGUUUGCAUAUCUAUAAUUUUUUUUUCCAGUUCUAUUUCGUGUGGCCUGUUGUUUGGUGGAAAUUUUACUUCUUUUUAGGGAGAUCCAAAGGCACCGUUACUACAAAAGAAGGGCUGCACCCACUAUGACAAAUUGAGGUAACUAUUUGCCCCCAAUACUGCAACUGGGGCCCUUCAUAUCUCUUCUAACACCCCAACCCUAAAUGAUGAUGAAGAGUGUGCCCUGAAGGAGGAACUUGCUAAUGAUGUUUGUCGUACCCAACUUGGUCAUGAUGAUUGCUACAGCCCGAGCCUUAAGGGAAUACCUAGGAAUGACAGCCCCUGUUUUGGCCAAACGCAACGUGCUAACAGACGUCCACUUCAAGAUUCCAAUGCCAAGGGGAAGAAGGUUGCCAAGAAAGCGGAUACGGCGAGUGAGAUGACUGUGGCUUUACAAGAGUAUACUGCAAUGACAAGAGAGAGGAAUUCUCAAAGAAGGGGGCUGGCAUCUGGUAGCUCUGAACAUUUUGGCCAAUCAGCUGCUAUAGGUGAUCCUUGCUCACUAGGAAAGGCUAUUGAAGUUUUGAAUCAGCAUGAGGACCUUGAUGAUGAUGCAUAUUUUGCUGUUUCCACGGCUCUACACCUCAAAGAGAAUAGGGGGUGUUAAUGAGGAUGCUAGAGCAUAGGAGGAAGAAUUGGAUGGAAAUAGUUGCUAAGCGGAAUCGCAACUAAUCUUUGGUGUUAUUAUUUCAUUUAUGUAAUGUGGGUUUGGUUGUAUGGUGGUUUCAUGGAGGUGGUUGUACUUAUUAAAACAUGUUUAAGACGUGUUGUUGGUUGAGCCAUCUUUUGGUUUGUUUCUGGAUGUUAUCCUAGAUGGCUGAAAACUUUAUUAUGUUUUUCGUUGAUCUGUAAUGUUUGUUGUAGACUUGGCUUGGUUUGUUGUUAUGUUUAUUAAACUCUAUUUAUAUCGUGUUAUGUUAUCUUAAA